rnacentral:lncRNA from 1 species
AUGCUGGUGAAGCCUAGUGAUGCCAGCCCAGCCAGGAGGUCUUCUCCAGAGACUGGAAGUCAGCCAGGACUUUGGUUAUCUUGGCACAUGCGGGAGAGGGAAGAAAGACCUGUGUGUCGGGGGGUAUGAAGGGAAGAAUAGGAACCAAGCAUGGCCACCAUCAGCAGAAAACACCAACUCUGGGCAUGCAAUGAGGGAGACAAGGAAAGAUAUCCAUGGCGAGAGGACAGGCCCUUGUUAUUCAGUUCAUGCAAGAGGAUCUGCUGGGGAUGGAGAAGGCAAAACACACUCCACCUUCACCUUUCAUAACCUUAUCCACAGCAGCCUGUAACUCCAAGUCCUCUUCCAAAUACUCCUGCUAGUAGGUCUCCUAAGUGCAAAGAGGUUUCAAUCUUUCCCUGAAUAUUGCCUUCAUGACAAAGACUACAAGGAACUGCUGAAGAUUGUCAAAGAUGGGCUAGAACCUGCAACUCAUCCAGCAAAAGUGGUCAUUGUCGGUGCAGGAAUAAGCGGGCUUACAGCAGCAAAGUUGCUCCGAG